rnacentral:rRNA from 1 species
GACGAACGCUGGCGGCGUGCUUAACACAUGCAAGUCGAACGGAAAGGCCCUGAUUUUGUGGGGUGCUCGAGUGGCGAACGGGUGAGUAACACGUGAGUAACCUGCCCUUGACUUUGGGAUAACUUCAGGAAACUGGGGCUCAUAUCGGAUAGGAGCUCCUGCUGCAUGGUGGGGGAUGGAAAGUUUCGGCGGUUGGGGCUGGACUCGCGGCUUAUCAGCUUGUUGGUGGGGUAGUGGCUUACCAAGGCUUUGACGGGUAGCCGGCCUGAGAGGGUGAACGGGCACAUGGGUACUGAGAGACGGCCCAGACUCGUACGGGAGGCAGCAGGGGGAAAUAUUGCACAAUGAGCGGGAGCCUGAGGCAGCAACGUCGCGUUCGUGAUGACGGCCUUCGGGUUGUAAACCGCUUUCGCCUGUGACGAAGCGGGAGUGACGGUAAUGGGUAAAGAAGCACCGGCUAACUACGUG